GUAAGUUUUGGGCAGGUGGCGACGCUCCUCCGGAGGGCGAGCUGGGAAUCCUUAAUGUGUCCAGCCUCCACGUCUCCGCUAUUCAUGGCUCUGCUCACUCCCAGAAUUCCCUGCGUCGCAGCGUGAGCCAGAUGAUGGACAGGAAGUCGCUGACGGGGGAGGAGGAAGUGUGGGACUCUCACAUUCAAGGCCACGACAGCGGGAUGUUUAUGGAGGACGAGGAGUUUGUCGACACUAUUAAAGGCUUCAGCACGGUGCGGAAGGAACACACCAUGUUUACCGACACUAACCUGUGACCUGCUGUGACCUUUGAACUCCACCCCUCACCUUGUCAGGUCAGACAGGUCGACUGGAGGGGCAGGCCCUCACGAAGGGAGGUCGGAGGGGUACACAAAUCAAGCCAUAGACAUUCACUAAUAACAUUACCUAAUAACUUAUCCUAUUUGACUAUGACGGCAACCGACCUACCAAACAACACGCACGGGUUAAAUAAAAACGAAUAAUAAUAUGUGCAAAUAUGACUAACUGAACAAUAUCUGAGAAAAGGACUUGCUUCCAUGAAAGAGAAGACUCCCGAGGAGGUAGAGGAACUGAGAGAGAUUUCACUGAUUUUUCAGUUUCACUGAGAAUAACAUUUCCCUGUUUCAAUGAGCAGUAUCAAGGCAUCCAUUUUAAUUCAAAUUCGUUUUUGGUUUUCUUAUAGCUACACUGACCUAACAUACAAAGAGAAGAGAAGUGUUUUUCAUUUUAUAUAAACAUAUUUGUAUAUUGACUUGCUGUUGCUCUGAAUGUAAGAAUGCCUUUUGAUAAGUCGCUGCACAAUUUCUGUGUACAGAUUGUAUCUAAUAAAAGUGUGGACCAAUUUA